rnacentral:lncRNA from 1 species
GCACUUUGAUUUGCUUAUAUAUAUAUUCCCCUUUUACAUAUUGGAAACUACAAUUGGCAUCAGGAAACUGGAGAGCAAGUCCAGUUUAGGAUUAUCUAGUUUUCUACAUUUGGUGUUGCAAAUGACUUAUCUUCUCCAUACUUCUUUAUGACUUUCUGAUCUAGACUCUCUUCUUCUAGCUUGUUCCUAGAGCCUGGCAUUUUAGUUAUUUCUUGUAUCAGCAAACUGUAUACUAUAUAGAUGGAUAGAUAGAUAGUUUGGUAAUGAGUUUUUAUCAUAGGAGUUUAUGACCUUAUUUGCGGAAAAGAUACGUAUAAACUGGAAACAAUUUCCAACGUUUUGAAUACCAGAAGGGAAAAUUUAUCAUAUGAUACAUUCUUGCUAUUUUCC